CCGGAUUCAAUGAAUGGGGAGAUAUUAUCGUGAACAACAAAUGUCUUGUGGCAUUGCUCAGCUAUAGUUUUGCACUCGGCUUCUUCUUCCUCGCUCUUCACGUCACAAGAUCUGUAGACUUCGCCAUAUACUCAGAAUGCGGUUACUCGGAAUUCUUCAAGCAUGUCAAGAAUCAGCUUCUCUCGAGGAUACAGAGCGAAUUGCCAAGAAAGCGAUUACGCUGCAACAGAAAAGGGUGUCGAUGUAGGUCGAAUUGUGUUAGGUGUAAAAGUCGAAACAGCCGUUGAAGCCGAAUGAUGUUCCAGCGAAAAACAAUGCAUUUUCAAAUAUCAUUAGGUCGAUUUCAACGCGAUUCAAUCACGUCCCAGUCAGUGUCGAGAGCAAAGGCGCGGAAGUAUAAUACUUGGCGAUUUUU